rnacentral:rRNA from 1 species
CGGCAGCACAGAGGAGCUUGCUCCUUGGGUGGCGAGUGGCGGACGGGUGAGGAAUACAUCGGAAUCUACUCUGUCGUGGGGGAUAACGUAGGGAAACUUACGCUAAUACCGCAUACGACCUACGGGUGAAAGCAGGGGAUCUUCGGACCUUGCGCGAUUGAAUGAGCCGAUGUCGGAUUAGCUAGUUGGCGGGGUAAAGGCCCACCAAGGCGACGAUCCGUAGCUGGUCUGAGAGGAUGAUCAGCCACACUGGAACUGAGACACGGUCCAGACUCCUACGGGAGGCAGCAGUGGGGAAUAUUGGACAAUGGGCGCAAGCCUGAUCCAGCCAUACCGCGUGGGUGAAGAAGGCCUUCGGGUUGUAAAGCCCUUUUGUUGGGAAAGAAAUCCAUCUGGUUAAUACCCGGGUGGGAUGACGGUACCCAAAGAAUAAGCACCGGCUAACUUCGUGCCAGCAGCCGCGGUAAUACGAAGGGUGCAAGCGUUACUCGGAAUUACUGGGCGUAAAGCGUGCGUAGGUGGUCGUUUAAGUCCGUUGUGAAAGCCCUGGGCUCAACCUGGGAACUGCAGUGGAUACUGGGCGACUAGAAUGUGGUAGAGGGUAGCGGAAUUCCUGGUGUAGCAGUGAAAUGCGUAGAGAUCAGGAGGAACAUCCAUGGCGAAGGCAGCUACCUGGACCCAACAUUGACACUGAGGCACGAAAGCGUGGGGAGCAAAACAGGAUUAGAUACCCUGGUAGUCCACGCCCUAA